UACGGAGGGUGCGAGCGUUAAUCGGAAUUACUGGGCGUAAAGGGAGCGUAGGCGGAUAGUUUAGUCAGAGGUGAAAGCCCAGGGCUCAACCUUGGAAUUGCCUUUGAUACUGGCUAUCUUGAGUACGGAAGAGGUAUGUGGAACUCCGAGUGUAGAGGUGAAAUUCGUAGAUAUUCGGAAGAACACCAGUGGCGAAGGCGACAUACUGGUCCGUUACUGACGCUGAGGCUCGAAAGCGUGGGGAGCAAACAGGAUUAGAUACCCCUGUAGU
rnacentral:rRNA from 1 species